rnacentral:rRNA from 1 species
ACCCUGACGCAGCCACGCCGCGUGCUGGAAGACGGCCCUAUGGGUUGUAAACAGCUUUUGGUCGGGAAGAACCCCGGAGUUUCGACUCCGGCUGACGGUACCGAUUGAAUAAGCACCGGCUAACUCCGUGCCAGCAGCCGCGGUAAUACGGAGGGUGCAAGCGUUGUCCGGAAUUAUUGGGUGUAAAGGGUGUGCAGGCGGAAGUCUAAGUCGGAGGUGAAAUCUUGCCGCUUAACGGUAAAAGGGCCUUCGAAACUGGAUUUCUUGAGUUCGGAAGAGGUUGGUGGAAUUCGUGGUGUAGCGGUGAAAUGCAUAGAUAUCACGAAGAACACCGGUGGCGAAGGCGGCCAACUGGUCCGAUACUGACGCUGAGACACGAAAGCGUGGGGAGCGAACAGGAUUAGAUACCCUGGUAGUCCACGCUGUAAACGAUGCAUGCUAGUUGUUGUCCCCUUGGGGGCAGUGACGCAGUUAACGCAGUAAGCAUGCCACCUGG